rnacentral:misc_RNA from 1 species
UUGACUUAUUAAAAUAAGACGCUCAGAUAUCAUGUAAAUAACAAGAGUUUAGUGGUCCACCGGCAGGCUACAAGGCAACUGUCCCCUAGAGGAUAGGUACCGGGUAGGCCCUGCCGAGGCAACAAAGGUAAGUUCACAAAGGGUUGGGAGUUUAGAAAACUCUGUAAUGAUCCCUCCGCUGGUUCACCAACGGAGA